AUCCCUUUUCAGUUCUGAAGUGUGAUUAUUAGGUGUUUACACCAUUAUGUAACACACACCUCCUUCAACCCUCAUUGCCAACAUUACUACAUUUUCCAUCUGACA
ensembl:snoRNA